rnacentral:lncRNA from 1 species
UUGGGACUCCUGCAAAAUAAAUUAAAGAAUAUUUGAGGUAACCUUACAGCAAAAAAAAACACUUUUUUUUGCAGCUAUUCCUUAAACUUUCUAGUGGAAAGGCUGAAAUGGCUGCGCAUUUCUGAUAUUACUUGCUCAGCGAACAUUAUAACAAGUUGUUGAUCAAAGUCAAUACCUUCUACCUAAAGUAGUUUCCUGCAUUUCGAUGAACACCAACUUAUGUUGCAUAGCCUCCUGAAUGAACUUGGAAAGAAAAGUAGCACCUGAUAUCUCGUUCCAGCACUCUAAUUCUCGCAGCCAAGAAUGCCAAGUUCUGUUCUCCAAGUCUGAUGCCAGC